UACGUAGGUGGCGAGCGUUGUCCGGAUUUAUUGGGUUUAAAGGGUGCGUAGGCGGCUUUGUAAGUCAGUGGUGAAAUACUCCAGCUUAACUGGAGGGGUGCCAUUGAUACUGCGGAGCUUGAGUACAGAUGAGGUAGGCGGAAUUGACGGUGUAGCGGUGAAAUGCAUAGAUAUCGGCAAGAACACCGAUAGCGAAGGCAGCUUACUGGGCUGUAACUGACGCUGAUGCACGAAAGUGUGGGGAUCAAACAGG
rnacentral:rRNA from 1 species